rnacentral:rRNA from 1 species
GACGAACGCUGGCGGCGUGCUUAACACAUGCAAGUCGAACGGAAAGGCCUCUUUCGGGGGGUACUCGAGUGGCGAACGGGUGAGUAACACGUGAGUAACCUGCCCUUGACUUUGGGAUAACUUCAGGAAACUGGGGUUAAUACCGGAUAGGAGCUCCUGCUGCAUGGUGGGGGUUGGAAAGUUUCGGCGGUUGGGGAUGGACUCGCGGCUUAUCAGCUUGUUGGUGGGGUAGUGGCUUACCAAGGCUUUGACGGGUAGCCGGCCUGAGAGGGUGACCGGCCACAUUGGGACUGAGAUACGGCCCAGACUCCUACGGGAGGCAGCAGUGGGGAAUAUUGCACAAUGGGUGGAAGCCUGAUGCAGCAACGCCGUGUGCGGGAUGACGGCCUUCGGGUUGUAAACCGCUUUCGCUCAUGACGAAGCUUUGUGUGACGGUAGUGGGUAAAGAAGCACCGGCUAACUACGUG